GCGCCGAUGGUAUAGUGGUUAGCAUCCUCGCUUCCCAAAUUUCUUUGGAACCAGCGAGGGACCCGGGUUCGAACCCCGGUCGGCGCA
rfam:Sordaria macrospora k-hell, WGS project CABT02000000 data, contig: 2.7